GAGGACCGGCAUCGGCUAGCCAGGAGAUUGGCUAAUGUGUAGUGGUUUAGUGUUGAAAAAAAAAAUGAAAACACGAAAUGACUCCAUUUUACGGCAUUUUAAACAUGGAGCAUCCAGGAGAACAGAGCAUUUUAUUUUGAAGUGGACCCCACCCCCCGCGGGCUGAAGUGAUCUGAACGUCGCCGGCGAUGGUGGACGGUAGCCUCGGAGCGCUCCGUGGCCAGCCUCAGCUUCGCCCCGUGAGAUGUCGCUGCGCAGUACCGGCAGGCGCAGAGAAGGAGAGCCGGAGCGGCGUGCGAGCCACGGCGGCGUGCCCUCUGCUUGUUCGCCUGUCGCUGCCGGCGGCGGGCCUGGAGGGGGCUCCGGGGGCGGCAGCCAUGCGGCGGCGGCGGCGGCGGCGGCGGUGGUGGUGGCCGGGG